GAUGAAGAACGUAGCGAAAUGCGAUAAGUAAUGUGAAUUGCAGAAUUCAGUGAAUCAUCGAAUCUUUGAACGCACAUUGCGCCCGCCAGUAUUCUGGCGGGCAUGCCUGUUCGAGCGUCAUUACAACCCUCAGGCCCCCGGGCCUGGCGUUGGGGAUCGGCGAGGCGCCCCCCGCGGGCACGCGCCGUCCCCCAAAUACAGUGGCGGUCCCGCCGCAGCUUCCAUUGCGUAGUAGCUAACACCUCGCAACUGGAGAGCGGCGCGGCCAUGCCGUAAAACACCCAACUUCUGAAUGUUGACCUCGAAUCAGGUAGGAAUACCCGCUGAACUUAAGCAUAUCAAUAAGCAGAGGA
rnacentral:misc_RNA from 1 species